UACAGAGGUCUCAAGCGUUGUUCGGAUUCAUUGGGCGUAAAGGGUGCGUAGGCGGCGCGGUAAGUCGGGUGUGAAAUCUCGGAGCUUAACUCCGAAACUGCAUUCGAUACUGCCGUGCUUGAGGACUGGAGAGGAGACUGGAAUUUACGGUGUAGCGGUGAAAUGCGUAGAUAUUGGGAGGAACACCAGAUGCGAAGGCGGGUCACUGGGCUGAUACUGACGCUGAUGCGCGAAAGCCAGGGGAGCGAACGGG
rnacentral:rRNA from 1 species